rnacentral:lncRNA from 1 species
CUGGGCUUGGCCCAAGCUUGCCCAAGCUAGCUGCAGGGCUGCUGCUGUUACCAUAUAUAGCUCAUAUUUAUUUUGUAAAGAUUGUUAGUUUCCAUAUGUAUUAUAUUUCCAUGGUUAGAUUGUAUAGCUGUAAAUGAGAGAAAUCAACCAACAAUCGUUGUAUAUUAAUCUAUUUAUUGAAGAAGAAUACAACCAAAAGAGGGCAUUGAGCCAUUCAAUCAAAUUCUAUCAUGGUAUCAGAGCCUUGGUUUUAGAAAUUUUGAAAUACUAGUUUUAAAAAUUACUCUUGGUUUUCUUGGUUUUCUUGGUGCUCUCUGUUGGAUCAGAGAUUCUGCAACAAAUCAGUGCGACGGUGCGACGGGUGCGAUAUUUUUUUCAUUUCAGGAUUGGCGUGGAAAGAAAGCUCACAAUUUUGGUAAAAUUUCAAUUUUAUUUGGGUGUGAACUAUUCUUGUUACUUUGAUAUGGCGGGUAGCAAUCCUGAAUUUUGUGUUAAGUUUACUGGAAAGAAUUAUACCACAUGGGAAUUUCAAUUUCAAUUGUUUGUCACUGGAAAGGAGUUAUGGGGUCAUAUAGAUGGCACUGUUUCAGCUCCUAUAGAUGCCACACAAUUGUCUCAAUGGAAAGUCAAAGAUGCUAGGGUGAUGUCUUGGAAUAUUAUUGAGUCCUGUGAUCCUCAACUUGUUCUUAAUUUACGCCUAUUUAAAACUGCUAAAAACAUGUGGGAAUAUUUAAAAAAAGGUUUACAAUCAAACACAUUCAGCUAGAAGAUUUCAAUUGGAGUGUGAGAUUACAAAUUACACUCAGGGAGAAUUGUCUAUUCAGGAUUACUUUUCUGGUUUUCAAAAAUUAUGGGCUGAAUUUUUUGAUAUUGUUUGUGCUACCGUGUCCAAAGAUUCUCAAAAAGAUGUAUUUGCUGUUUAUGAGGUUAGCAAGGGUGACCAGUUUUUGAUGAAGUUACAGUCAGAUUUUGAGAAUGUUCGUUCUAAUUUGAUGAGUCAUCAUCCUCCUCCUUCAUUGGAUAUGUGUUUUGGUGAAUUGCUUCGUGAAAAACAGCGUCUUCUCACUCAAGCCACUCUUGAACAAGAAAAGUUGAUUACAACACCUAUGGCAUUUUUGGCUCAAGGAAAAGACAAAGGUAGGGAUAUGAGUAAGGUUCAGUGCUUUAGUUGCAAGAAUUAUGGUCAUAUUGCUGCAAAUUGUACUAAAAAAUUUUGCAAUUACUGCAAAAAAGCCUGGACACAUCAUCAAAGAUUGCUCAAUUCGGCCCCAAAAUCACCAGGCCGUUGAGUUUCAAGCGUCUACUACCAAUCCUCCUACAGGUCAAAUUCCAAUUGGGACCUCAAUAACAGUCAAUCACAAUGCUGAACCAAUAGUCCUUACUCCUGAAAUGGUGCAACAAAUGAUUAUUUCGGCCUUUUCAGCUCUAGGCCUUCACAGUAAUGGUAAUUCUCCAUCUAAGUCUUGGCUUAUUGAUUCUGCAGCAUCAAAUCAUAUGACUAGCUUAGUUAAUUUGCUAAACAAUGUCCGUCCAUACCAUGGUUCAGAACAUAUCCAGGUUGCAAAUGGAAACACUAUUCCUAUUACUGCUGUUGGAGAUAUUACUCCAACUUUCCACAAUGCUUUUGUAUCACCUGGACUAUCUAAUAAUCUUCUUUCAGUUGGACAAUUAGUAGAAAAUAACUAUGAUGUACAUUUUUCUCGUGAUGGUUGUUGUGUGCAAGAUCAGGUGUCGGGGACGGUGAUCGCGAAGGGGCCUAAAGUAAGACGACUGUUUCCACUCUAUUUUUCCAUUCCUAAACAUGUUGCUUGUUCUACUAUUAUCAAUAAAAGUGAAAUGUGGCAUAAACGUUUGGGACACCCUAAUUCUGAUAUUUUGUCUUAUUUGUCGACUUCUGGUUUAUUGGGCAAUAAAGAUCACUUUUGUUCUUCUCGUACUUCUUUGGAUUGUUCUGCUUGUAAAUUAGGAAAUAGUAAAAUACUUCCUUUUCCUAUUGCUGAUAGCCAUGCGAAAAAAUGUUUUGAUAUUAUUCAUAGUGAUGUGUGGGGGAUCGCACCUGUUAUUUCUCAUGCUCAGUAUAAAUAUUUUGUGACGUUUAUUGAUGACUAUAGUCGGUUUACUUGGAUUUAUUUUCUUCGUUCUAAAUCCGAAGUUUUNUUCGCUCUGAUUUGCUCCUGUGGCCAAAAUGACUAUGGUACGUACAGUUCUUGCUAUUGUCGCUUCACAGGGUUGGCCACUUCAACAAUUGGAUGUCAAAAAUCAAACGUGGAAUAUUGUUCAAUGCCCACCUCAUGUUAAGCCCAUUGGUUGCAAAUGGUUUAUUCAGUGAAGCUUCGCUCUGAUUUGCUCCUGUGGCCAAAAUGACUAUGGUACGUACAGUUCUUGCUAUUGCCGCUUCACAUGUUAAGCCCAUUGCCCGCUGCCAACACUCAUGCUUUGCUGCUUGUGAGUAAGAAGAUGGAACCGAAAUGGAGGACAAAGCAAUAGAAAAUCAAACGUGGAAUAUUGUUCAAUGCCCACCUCAUAUUAAGCCCAUUGGUUGCAAAUGGUUUAUUUAGUGAAGCUACGCUCUGAUUUCCUCCUGUGGCUAAAAUGACUAUGGUACGUACAGUUCUUGCUAUUGCCGCUUCACAGGGUUGGCCACUUCAACAAUUGGAUGUCAAAAAUGCUUUUCUCCAUGGUGAUCUCAAUAAGGAUAUAUACAUGACGCCUCCUCCUAGUUUGCUUUUCUCUUCUACUUUGGAAGUUUGUAAAUUGAAUUGUUCCUUAUAUGGCUUAAAACAAGCUCCUCGAGCUUGGUUUGAGAAGUUUCACUCUAGCUUGCUUCAAUUUAAGCUUGUGCAAAGCCAGUAUGACUCUUCCUUGUUUCUUCGAAAGACCUCUACUGGGAUUGUCCUCCUUUUGGUGCAUGUUGAUGAUAUUGUUAUUACUGGGACGGACUUAUUGUUGAUUACACAGCUUGAGCAACAUCUUCGACAGUCUUUUCAUAUGAAGGAUCUUGGUCAUCUUACAUAUUUUUGGGGUUUGGAAGUUCAAACUGACUCUUUUGGCAUAUUCUUACACCAACAUAAAUAUAUUCAGGAUUUGAUUGUAUUGGCUGAUUUCAAGAUUCUUCAUCUGUUGAUACACCCCUAGAAGUGAAUGUUAAGUACCACACUGCAGAGGGCGAGAUACUUUCUGACCCUUUGUUGUAUCGGCAGCUAGUGGGUAGCCUGAAUUACCUGACUAUUACUAGGCCUGACAUCUCCUUUGCUGUACAGCAGGUUCGUCAAUUUAUGCACUCUCCACGACAUCUACACUUGGCGGCCGUCCGCCGCGUCAUUUGAUAUCUUCGCGGCUCUCCUUGUUGAGGCUUAUUUUUUCCUGUUGGCUCUCCUAUGCAUCUUGUUGCUUUUAGUGAUGCUGAUUGGGCGGGAUGUCCCAAUACUCGUUGUUCUUUCACUGGUUGGUGCAUGUUUCUUGGGAACUCUUUGGUAUCAUGGAAGAGUAAGAAACAAGACCGUGUUUCUAAAUCUUCGACAGAGUCUGAAUAUCGUGCUAUGUCUGCUGCAUGCUCUGAGAUUACUUGGCUUCGGGGGUUGUUGAUUGAACUUGGCUUUCCUCAGCAUGAUCCCCCUCCUCUUCAUGCUGAUAACACAAGUGCUAUUCAAAUUGCUACUAAUCCGGUCUACCAUGAGCGCACCAAACAUAUUGAAGUGGAUUGUCAUUAUAUUCGAGAAGUUGUGGAUACUCGUGCCAUUUCUCUUCCACAUGUUUCCACGUCCUUACAAAUAGCUGAUGUGUUGACCAAGUCUCUUCCUCGACAGCGUCAUUAGUUUCUUGUUCACAAAUUGAUGCUUCUUGAUCAUCGAGCAUCAAUUUGAGGAGGGAUGUUACCAUAUAUAGCUCAUAUUUAUUUUGUAAAGAUUAUUAGUUUCCAUAUGUAUUAUAUUUUCAUGGUUAGAUUGUAUAGCUGUAAAUGAGAGAAAUCAGCCAACAAUCACUGUAUAUUGAUCUAUUUAUUGAAGAAGAAUACAACCAAAAGAGGGCAUUGAGCUAUUCAAUCAAAUUCUAUCAGCUGCAGCACGACGACCGCAUUCGAGGGCGGCGGCAGUCGGCGAGGAGGGUCGCCGGGGCUCCGAGGAAUGUGCCGGAGAGGGGCCAGAGGGAAAAGGGUGCACCCAACAAGCCUACGGCAAGGAUAAGGGCCACAAAUGGCAAUGUAGGCAAGAGAGAAAGGAGAUAGUGACUUUCCGGCGGCCGGAGGUGCGCGCCGGCGGUCGGGGUGCGCGCGUCGAGGGCAAGGGAGGGUGGCGAGGCGGCUGUGGGCACAGCUCAGGGAGGAAGAAGGCUAAGGUUAGGUUUUUCCUGUUGAAACCCUAGAAUUUCACUUAUAUAGCGACAAGUAAAUUACGCGUAACUCCCUCAAACUGCAAUAUUUUGAGCUGAGAUCCUGACCAUGAAUGUAUGACAGCCUCGCGCCACGACCUACCAAG